AACGAACGCUGGCGGCAUGCCUAACACAUGCAAGUCGAACGAGACCUUCGGGUCUAGUGGCGCACGUGUGCGUAACGCGUGGGAACCUGCCCUUAGGUUCGGAAUAACUCCCCGAAAGGGGUGCUAAUACCGGAUAAUGUCUUCGGACCAAAGAUUUAUCGCCUUUGGAUGGGCCCGCGUUGGAUUAGCUAGUUGGUAGGGUAAAAGCCUACCAAGGCGACGAUCCAUAGCUGGUCUGAGAGGAUGAUAAGCCACACUGGGACUGAGACACGGCCCAGACUCCUACGCGAGGGAGCAGUAGGGAAUAUUGGACGAUGGGGGAAGGCCUGAUCCAGCAAUGCCGCGUGAGUGAUGAAGGCCUUAGGGUUGUAAAGCUCUUUUACCCGGGAUGAUAAUGACAGUACCGGGAGAAUAAGCUCCGGCUAACUCCGUG
rnacentral:rRNA from 1 species